AUAUUUUGUGUUUUUUUUCCUCAAUUUUAGUUUUCUACUACUGUUUUAAAUUCUCUAUGGUUCAGUUAUUUCUAAAAAAUAUUUUAUUAGAUUUUAUAAAAUCUCUAUGAACUGACUCAAAAUUUAUUUUUAAAAGGCAAGUGAAAGAUCAACAGGCAGAUAUAUUUCACCUUAUAUAAGUUAUGUAGAUGACUUGAUUAUUUCUAGGGUAUCAUACAGAAAAAGCAGGAGUUACACAAAUGUUCACUGUUGUUAUCAGUGACUCAUUUGGCCAGCAGAUAUAGUGAUCUAGCCUGUUACUCUUUCUGUUUUAACUGUAAAUACAGCUACAGUAUUUAUCAUUUUGUUAAUAUUAAACUUUAGUAGCUAUGAUACUUGAGUUAGUUACUUGUGCAAUUGGGAAGACAAAAGUCAAGUGAGGUUAAAGCAAAAUAAGAAUUUCUGUUUCUCUCUUUAUUGCCAUGAGUGGUGUUUUAUGAAUGACACUGGUGUCUCAAAGAACUUGUAGGUUUAUUCCCUUCUCAAUUAAUACAAGGUAAACACCCUUAUAAAUCUCUAAAUCCAAUGUAGCUUCACUGUAAUUUUCAACUAAAUUUACCAUAAUCUGUUAUAAUCUAUUUUGAUAUAAUUAUCAUAGUGUGAGACUUGAACAUUAACAGCUAUACUGUAAUAUCCAUAGCGUAAUUUUUAAAAUUUUAUUGAUGGUAGUUGAUUUAUAAUAUUGUGUUAAUUUCUGAUUUGUACAGCAGAAAUUAACACAAUAUUAUAAAUUAUAAAUUAUAAAGAAUAUAUAUUCUUUUUCAUAUUCUUUUCCUUUAUGGUUUAUCACAGGAUAUUGAAUGUAGUUUCAUGUUCUCUAGAGUAGUAACUUGUUGUUUAUCUAUCCUGUAUAUUAUAGUUUGCAUCUGCUAAUUCCAGACUCCCAAUCAUUCUUUCUGCCAACCUGCCCUUGACAACCACAAGUCUGUUUUCUAUGUCUGUGAGUCUGUUUCUAUUUUGUAGAUAUGUUCAUUUGUGUCAUAUUUUAGAUUCCACAUAUAAUGAUAUUAUAAGAAAUUAUCUUGGUCUGAAUUCACUUAUGAUAAUUUCUAGUUCUAUCCAUGUUGCUGCAAAUGACAUUAUUUCAUUCUUUUUUUUUUUGUCUUUUUUAUUUUUUAUGGCUGCAGCUGCAGCAUAUGGAGGUUCCCAGGCUAGGGUUCCAGUCAGAACUGUAGCUGCCGGCCUACACCACAGCCACAGCAAUGCGGGAUCUCAGCUGUGUCUGCGACCUACACCACAGCUCACAGCAACGCCGGAUCCUUAGCCUACGGAGUGAGGCCAGGGAUCGAACACGCAUUCUCAUGGAUGCUAGUCAGGUUUGCUAAUUGCUGAGCCAUGAUGGGAAUUCCUAUUUCAUUCUAUUUUAUGGCUAAAUAAUAUUCCAUUGUAUGUCCUUGCUAUGUCUUCUCUAUCCAUUCAUCUGUUGAUGGACAUUUAGGUUUUUUCCCAUGUCUUGACUAUAUUAUAAAUAAUGCUGCUAUGAUCAUAGAGGGUGCAUGUAUCUUUUUAAAUUGUUGGCCAGAUAUAUGCCCAGGAGUGGUAACUUUAUUUUUAAUUUUUUGAGAAACCUCCAUACUCUUUUCCAUAGUGGCUGUACAAAUUUAUAUUCCCACUUCCACACCCCCUUUAGCAUUUAUUUUUUAAUAGCUUUUUAAUGAUGGCCAUUCUGACUGGUGUAAGGUGAUACCUCAUUGUAGCUUUGAUUUGCAUUUCUUUAAUAAUUAGCUGUGAUCAUCUUUUUAUAUGGCUGUUGGCCAUAUGUAAGUCUCUUUGGAAAAAUGUCUAUUUAGGUCUUUGCUCAUUUUCUGAUUUAUUUGUUUGGUUUUUGUUAUUGAGUUGUUCAAGCUUUUUUGGAAAUUAAACCCUUAUCGGUCACAUCAUUUAUGAGUAUUUUUCCCCAGUCCAUAAGUUGUCUUUUUUUUUUUUUUUUUUUGCUUAUGGCUUGCUUUGUUGUGCGAAAGCAUAUAAGCUUGAUUAGAUCCCACCGUUUAUUUUUACUUUUAUUUCUAUUUUUGGGAGAAUGCCUGAGAAAACUUUGGUACUGUUUAUGUCAGAAAAUAUUUUGUCUGUGUUAUCUUCUAGGAGUUUUAUGUCUUUAAGUGUUUAACCCCUUUUAUGUUUAUUUUUGUGUAUAGUGUUGAGGCUGUGUUCUGACUCCACUGAUUUGCAUGUGGGUGUCUUUCCAAACACCACUUACUGAAGAGGCACACAACAUAAAUUUUUAAAAUAGAUCUUAUCCCAAGGCUUAUUUUUAAAUUAUUCUUUUCAAGUAUGUAUUUUUAUAGAACUAAAUCUAAGAAUCAUGACUAGAGAUUCUGACUAAAUUAUAACCACUUUUGAUGAGAAAAUGAAAUAGAACUGAUGUAUGGCUUCAGUGAAAUAUCACAGACAACAAAGAAUGGUAUGAGUAAUCCAAUAAAUGUAAGAGCAAAUUGAAUAAAAUAUAUUAAAAUAUUUCAGCUAUUACUACUUAAAAAAAAGCAAAGAAUUAAUGGAAUAUAAAGAAAAAGGAAAUCUUUAAUAGGGUAGCUGAAAGAAUUCUGGACACUAUGUAGAAUGUUGAUGGCAGUGCAACCUUGUGAAUAUAGCAUUGAAUUUUAAAUUAGCUAACUUGGCUUCAAUUUGGUGUGUUUGCACUUAAAAGCUUUGGACCAUUGUGGAGGUGGCUGAAGCUCCCUGAGCUUCAUUUCACUUCCUACAGCAUGAUUUUAGUUUUCAUGCCUCCUUGCACAGCUGAGGUAAAGAUCAAAUAUUAAAGAGCAUUUUGAACUAUAAAUUUAUACCUCAGAGUUUUGUUCUUUAUCGGCUGAUGAUUAAGGAAGAGAGGUUCCAUAUGCAACACAAACAAAACAUGACUGUUGAUAUUAGAACACAGAAUAUUUGUGUUUUCCCUUGUUUUAGAAAAAGUUCUGCUUUGGAAAUUAUGUAUGAAAAUACUUAUGAUUAACCUCAACAGUGAAAUCUGAAUAUGCAUCUGCUAGUACUUGUAAAAGAACUAGAGUUUCUGGGAUUUCUGCAUUAUUUAGUAUUUGUGGCUUGGGGAGCAGAGAGAAGCUCUAUAAAUAAGUAGGUGGAUAUAAAAUAAAAAAUAAUACAUAUGUAUUUAAUUGUAUAUAUAUUUACACACAAACAGUAUUAAAAUAUUUUCUGAGAUAACUCUCUUAGAAAUAUAUAGAGGAAAAUAAAGAGGAAUAAGAGCAAAUAGUAUGUUGAGACAAUCUAUAUAUCAUUAUAAGGAAUAAGACCUUUACAAGUAUCUGUUCUACUGAGAGAAGGAAAAGAAGAAUUUGGGUACUAUUCUGGCAUUUUCCUGAUGAUUGCCCAAGACAAGACAUUAAUAAGGAGUUAGGAAAAAUAAAACGAGAGAGAACAAUUGAUUGUACAUACAGUUGAAUAAAUUCAAUCUUUUAUAUAUCAAUUAAAUUAUCAUUUUAGCAGGACAAAAUAAUAUCUCCAUAUUUUUGGAAUAUGUUAUAUAGAACCCUUGCCACGAAGAUAAUAUGAUAUACAAAACUGGGAUAAUAUACUGUGUAAUGACAAGAAUAUAAUUUGUUCAGAUAUACAAAAUAAAUAUCAUGUAAAUAUUUAUAUUAAGUAAUGAACACUUUUUCAAGAAAGAUAAGAUAUGUAACAUUUUGUGAAAAUUAAUAGUAAGGGGAAUUUUUUCAUUUGGAAUAAGGAAUAAAUGAUUUCUAGUUUUCUUAAUAAUAACCACUAAUAUUUAAAUAGCACUUAUUAUAUGCCAAACAUUAGCCUCAGUGUUUCAGAAUAUCAAAUCAAUUAAUUCUCUCAACAAUCAUUUGAAAUAGUUCUAAUACUAUUCCCAUUUUGCACACGAAGAAAAUAAAUCUCAGAGAGCUUACGUAUAAUUCCUGAGUUCACACAUAGAACCUGUAAAAAAGGCAGUUAGGUGUGUAUGCAGGCAAGUUGGUUAUGGAGUUUUGUUUUUAAACACUGUAAGUUUACAUUUCUUUUCUAAUAUGUAAACAAUUAAUAAAGAGAUAAGUACAAGGGCUGAUGAUCUGAAUGAUGAACUUAUAUUAGGAGUAAGCAAAUUAUUGCUUUGUGGUGUAUCUUGGGAAAACAUUUCAAAAGUAGUCUUGAAUUAUAGGGCAAAAACUGACCCACUAUUGUGAGCUCAUGGAAAGGAAGAAGCAUGUUUUAUUUUUGGUAUCACCAUGUCCUAACACUUAGCAUGGUCUCUGGUAGGAGCUCAGUCUGGGAUUACUGAAUGAAGACAAUUUUGGAAAGUGUGAAUAAACCAAGAUUUGGGGAGUUCCUGUUGUGGCACAGUGGAAACAAAUUUAACUAGUGUCCAUGAAGAUGCACAUUUGAUCCCUGGCCCCGCUAAGUGGUCGGGGAUCUGACAUUGCCAUGAGCUCUAGUGUAGGGUACAGAUGCAGCUUAGAUCCAGUGUUUCUGUGGCUGUGGUGUAGUCUAGCAGCUGUAUCUCUGACUUGGCCCCUAGCCUGGGAACUUCCGUAUGCUGCAGGUGUGGCCCUAAAAAGCAAAAAUAAAAUAAAAUAAAAAAUAAAACAAGAUUUUGAAACACCAAGAAACCUGAAAUCAACUUUAAGGUAAGGCUAUAGGUUUAUGUUGAAACUUUUGUGAAAAUAAGACUCCAUUAUUGGGAGUAAUCAUAAAGUUGGUAAUUAAAGAAGAUCACUUUGGGAAAAUUGCAGAGUAUUGUGGUACUGUCAAAAAGGACAAAUCAAGUGUGGGACUUGAGAGAUGAUUGAUAUCUGUUAAAUAUCUAAAACCUACAGAUGAGUGGAUGGUAUUAAGAAAAAAUAAUAAGGAAACAAAGAAACCUAACUGGUAGUUCCUGUUGUGGCACAGCAGAAAUGAAAAAGAAAAAAAAAGCCCUCAAAACAACCAAGGAACUACCAAAGGGGUGCUUUUUCAUAUAACUAGCCCUCUAAGACUACAGUAGUUGUCUUCCCUAAAACUCAUAGAAUAAGAAAAAUAUAAACAAUGUAUAAACCAAAGGAAGAAGCUCAGGAGCCAUUCCCAAUUAAAAGAAGAGAAUUCUCCUGAAGGAGCAAACAAUGAGACAGACCUCUGCAGUCUAGCAGACACUGAGUUCAAAAAGGAGAUAGUGAAAAUUCUGAAAGAAUUAAGAGCUAAUAUGAAGGUAUUCAAAACAAAUAUGAACAGUCAUGCAGAUUAUUUUAGAAAGGAACUAGAAAAUAUAAGGAGGAGCCGAGAAAAAUUGCAAAAUUAAUUUGCACAGUCACAAGCUGAGUUAAAAUAGAUAAUUCGGAGGAAUAAAUAAGUGACUUGGAAAAUAGAAUAAUGGAAAUUAUACAGAUAGGACAGUAGACAAAAAACCAAAUGAAAAAAUAUGAAAGCAAUAUGAAAGAUCUAUGGGAUAAUAUAAAGUGGGCCAAUCUAUGCAGAAUAGGGAUUCAGAAGGAGAAGAAAAAGAAAAGGGGAUUGAAAACAUAUUUGAAGAAAUUAUGGCUAAAAACUUUCCACAUCUAAAGGAAAUAGUUAUCAAGAUACAGGAAGUAUAGAGGGCCCCAAAUAAUUUGAACCCAAACAAACACACACCACGACAUAUUAUAAUAAAAAUGGCAAAAGUUAAAGAUAAGGAAAGGAUUCUAAAGGCAGCAAGAGAAAGCAAAGAGUUAAUUAUGCAGAACCUUCCAUAAGGCUAUCAGCUGAUUUUCCUACAGAAAUAUUACAGGUAGAAGAGAGUGGCAAGGUAUAUCAGAGUUCUAAAAGGGAAAAAUUUGCAGCCAAGAAUACCCAGUGAGAUUAUCAUUUAUAAUAGAGAAUGAAAGAAACUCUCCAACAAACAAAAACUAGAAGAAUACAGCAAUAUUAAACCAUUCUAAAAGAAAUAUUGAAAGGUUUCCUCUAAAUAGGAAAGAUGUAAGAUUAUAUAGGAUGGAGGAAAUCACAACUGGAAAGUAAUUUAAGCCAGCAUAUAG
rnacentral:lncRNA from 1 species